CUGUGGUGAGGUAGUAAGUUGUGUUGUUGUUGGGGAUCAGGAUAGUGCGGCCCUCGAAGGAGAUAACUAUACAACUUACUGCCUUCCACAU
rnacentral:pre_miRNA from 1 species